rnacentral:rRNA from 1 species
UUUCCUACGGGGGGCAGCAGUGGGGGAUAAUGCACAAUGGGCGAAAGCCUGAUGCAGCGAUGCCGCGUGGAGGAAGAAGGUCUUCGGAUUGUAAACUCCUGUCUUUAGGGACGAUAAUGACGGUACCUAAGGAGGAAGCUCCGGCUAACUACGUGCCAGCAGCCGCGGUAAUACGUAGGGAGCGAGCGUUGUCCGGAAUUACUGGGUGUAAAGGGAGCGUAGGCGGGGCGGCAAGUCAGGUGUGAAAUUUAUGGGCUUAACCCAUAACCUGCAUUUGAAAAUGUCGCUCUUGAGUGAAGAAGAGGUUGGAGGAAUUCCUAGUGUAGCGGUGAAAUGCGUAGAUAUUAGGAGGAACACCAGUGGCGAAGGCGGCCAACUGGGCUUUUACUGACGCUGAGGCUCGAAAGCGUGGGGAGCAAACAGGAUUAGAUACCCCGGUAGUCGAU